rnacentral:rRNA from 1 species
AAUCACAGUCAUAUCACCCUGCAGCCCAAGACCGGUUACUCACUGAAUUCUAAGCAGGACUGAGUCUGGUCAGUACCUGGAUAGGAGACCACAUGGGAAAACUAGGUUGCUGUUGGAA